CACGGUGGGCGGGGCUUGCGAGUAAGGGGAGUGUAAGGGAAUUUAAAGGGCUUCUCCAACCACCUUUCCGGUGCUGAGUCCCCACGGCAACAUCUCCUCCCCGAAUGAUCCUCAAGCAGCGGAUGGUUGUAUUUCCAACGAGUGCGAGUGGGGGAGGAACAGAGAGAGAGGGAGACACAGAAUCUGAAGCAGGCUCCAGGCUCUGAGCUGUCAGCACAGAGCCUAACGUGGGGCUCAAACCCACGAACCGCAAGAUCAUGACCCCAGCCGACAUUGGAUGCUUAACUGACUGAGCUACCCAGGCGCCCCUAAAAAUACAGUCAUCUUUAAAGAAACUUCCUUCUAAUCCUCGUGUCCUACAAGGUUUUAGCCAGAAAUAGGGGAGUGCUCAAAAUGCACAUGGAAGACAGGCUGGAUUUGACAGAAAGGAGGAGCCGGAGACCGGAAGAAGGCGCAAAAGGAACGCCGAGGGGCCACAAGAAGGUACCCGGAGUAAGGGAGAAAAAGCAGCAUUUGUGCCCAUCAGCCUUGAACAUAAAGACCCAGCCUCAGCCUGAAAAAGAGCCAACAAUGAGGCAGCCCCAGAAUCAGCCCUGCUGUUGAAGUCUGACGCAUUAACAACCCCGACAGGAAUUAAGAGGUGAAACAAGCAGAUGAAACAUUUGCUGAAGCCGAGAUAAGCAUUCCUGGGAAGGAAUUUUUCAAAAAAUCAAAAUGAAUCCUGUAAAUCUUCCUAAUUAGGAAACAUGACCAGAAAUUAAAUUCAACUGAAAAAAAAAAAUGAAGUGCUAAAUAACUCCCCCACUAAAUGGCAAGGCUCUAUUGAAAAUACCACUGAUUAUUAGUUUUAGCUGCUCAGGGAAAUUAUCUGGGCACAAUGCUGGGCAUCAACAUGCAGCUCACAGCAGCAGUCAAAAGCAGCAGCUGAGAUGUGUGGCCAUCCUAAUUAGAGGAUGGAGAUUCUGAAAAGGCUCUGGGGCUGUGACAUUCCUGGCUGGGGCUUUCCUUCCAGGAAUGCCACAUUAGGGUUUUGGUCAUCACAUUGUCAAGAAGGACUUAAUAGGACUGAUCCGGAAAGGCACAACAGAAAUGACUUAGAAAAGAGUGUGAGAAGCUUUGAGGUUAAAAGCAGAAAGCAGGAAAACACUUCCAUAAGAAAUAAUUUUAAAAAUUAGGAGACAGGGAGGCAAGCAAAAGCUUUGGGUGAUGGAAAGAGUGGCCGGAGGGUGUCCUGCCUGCAUUAGGUCAUUGCAGGCAUGUGGGGCUUUCUCUUGUUCCUAAUGAGCAUGUCCAGGGAGGUCAACAAAUUAGAACAAAUUAUCUGAUAUGAAUUACUCUUCAGUUCUUCAUUUGACAAAUAUUUACCAACCACCCUCCAUGUUCUAGGCACUGUCUCUAGCUUUUUAGGAUAGAUCAGUGAACAAAAUAGAGAAAAAUCCAUGUCCUUGUGGAAUUUACAUGCUAGGGGGGCAGGCACAACAUUGUGCAGUAUGUUAUAGGGUGAUGAGGACUACAGAAAAACAAACAAACAAGGUAAGGAUAUUGAGAGUAAUCAGGAUGGUCCUCAUUGAGAAGGUAACAUCUGAGGAAAAGUCUGGAAGAGGUAAGGGAGCAAGUGUGAUGUAUAUUUGGGCAAAAAGUAUUCCAUACAGAGGGAACAGUUGGUGCAAAUUUCCUAA